UGUCAGAAUUUUAUUUCUAGCCGCAAAUCCCCAUUAUAACGCACAAAAGCAGACCCAUGGUCCGAUUUAUGUAACGAUUUCUUUCAAAAUUUUAAAAUAGGUAAGCUAUCACUUGCAGCUACACAGCAGAGAAGUUAUAGGUAAUAAUAAGAACUAAAUUAAGUGGAAGAAGAUGGUACUCGGGAUGCAGGUUGCUCUACACAUUAAAUAAAACAGGAACUGCAUUGAAGCUACUCCACAAUUAGUAAGUUAUUUUUCAUUAAUCCUUCACCAACUGUUGGAAAUUCUGGUGAUAGCUGCC
rnacentral:lncRNA from 1 species